rnacentral:rRNA from 1 species
CCUACGGGACGCAGCAGUGAGGAAUAUUGGUCAAUGGGCGGUAGCCUGAACCAGCCAAGUAGCGUGAAGGAUGAAGGUUCUAUGGAUUGUAAACUUCUUUUAUAAAGGAAUAAAGUGAGGCACGUGUGCCUUUUUGUAUGUACUUUAUGAAUAAGGAUCGGCUAACUCCGUGCCAGCAGCCGCGGUAAUACGGAGGAUCCGAGCGUUAUCCGGAUUUAUUGGGUUUAAAGGGAGCGUAGACGGCAUUGCAAGUCUGAUGUGAAAGAUUGGGGCUCAACCCCAGGCCUGCAUUGGAAACUGUAAAG